UAAUGAAUUAUAAAAUUCUGUUCCCUGAAUAAAAAAGAAAAAUAUUUAAAAAAAAAAAAAAGGUUAGCAUUCAAACUCUUGGCUUCAUUGGUCCCCGGAGCCCUACCCGGUAACUCUCCUUCCCGUUCUUCUGCUCAUUUCAAUUUCUGCUUCUCGUUGUCACAGUCGUUCAGUCAAAUUCGAACCGAGAUAUGGAUCCAGAGGCUGCACAAACUGCCCGAGAGUCCCUAGACCUUGCAUUUCACAUGUCCAACAUUCUUGAUACAGGGCUUGAUCGACACACACUCUCUAUUCUCAUUGCCCUUUGUGACUUGGGCCUGAACCCUGAGGCUCUGGCUGCUGUGGUCAAGGAACUCCGACAAGAGCCCUCUCCCUCAUCCACAAUGCCUACUGCUCCAUCAUAGUAACUUAAAUGGGUUUGUGCUAUUAUCUCAUAAUUUUAAAUAGCUAGAAGGGACAAUUGUCAUGAGUAGCAGUCUUUUAUACUUGAUCAGUUUCUGCAACCCUUCAUUUUGUCUGCAUCACUAUUGUGUAUUAUGCUUCUCCAUGCAUAACAAUUUGUUUUGUGUCUUCUGUUUAAUCUAUGUUAUUGUAUUCUCUA